rnacentral:rRNA from 1 species
UGCCCUGCACUUUGGGAUAAGCCUGGGAAACUGGGUCUAAUACCGAAUAGGACCACGCGCUUCAUGGUGUGUGGUGGAAAGCUUUUGCGGUGUGGGAUGGGCCCGCGGCCUAUCAGCUUGUUGGUGGGGUAAUGGCCUACCAAGGCGACGACGGGUAGCCGGCCUGAGAGGGUGACCGGCCACACUGGGACUGAGAUACGGCCCAGACUCCUACGGGAGGCAGCAGUGGGGAAUAUUGCACAAUGGGCGCAAGCCUGAUGCAGCGACGCCGCGUGAGGGAUGACGGCCUUCGGGUUGUAAACCUCUUUCAAUAGGGACGAAGCGCAAGUGACGGUACCUAUAGAAGAAGCACCGGCCAACUACGUGCCAGCAGCCGCGGUAAUACGUAGGGUGCGAGCGUUGUCCGGAAUUACUGGGCGUAAAGAGCUCGUAGGUGGUUUGUCGCGUUGUUCGUGAAAACUCACAGCUUAACUGUGGGCGUGCGGGCGAUACGGGCAGACUAGAGUACUGCAGGGGAGACUGGAAUUCCUGGUGUAGCGGUGGAAUGCGCAGAUAUCAGGAGGAACACCGGUGGCGAAGGCGGGUCUCUGGGCAGUAACUGACGCUGAGGAGCGAAAGCGUGGGGAGCGAACAGGAUUAGAUACCCUGGUAGUCCACGCCGUAAGCGGUGGGUACUAGGUGCGGGUUCCUUCCUUGGGAUCCGUGCCGUAGCUAACGCAUUAAGUACCCCGCCUGGGGAGUACGGCCGCAAGGC